rnacentral:rRNA from 1 species
CGUAGGUGAACCUGCGGAGGGAUCAUUGCUGGAACGCGCCCUAGGCGCACCCAGAAACCCUUUGUGAACUUAUACCUUACUGUUGCCUCGGCGCAUGCUGGCCCCCUCGGGGCCCCCUGGAGACAGGGAGCAGGCACGCCGGCGGCCAAGUUAACUCUUGUUUUUACACUGAAACUCUGAGAAAAACACAAAUGAAUCAAAACUUUCAACAACGGAUCUCUUGGUUCUGGCAUCGAUGAAGAACGCAGCGAAAUGCGAUAAGUAAUGUGAAUUGCAGAAUUCAGUGAAUCAUCGAAUCUUUGAACGCACAUUGCGCCCUCUGGUAUUCCGGAGGGCAUGCCUGUUCGAGCGUCAUUUCAACCCUCAAGCAUUGCUUGGUGUUGGGGCACUGCCUGUAAAAGGGCAGGCCCUGAAAUCUAGUGGCGAGCUCGCCAGGACCCCGAGCGUAGUAGUUAAACCCUCGCUCUGGAAGGCCCUGGCGGUGCCCUGCCGUUAAACCCCCAACUUUUGAAAAUUUGACC